rnacentral:lncRNA from 1 species
CAUGAAGACGCAGCAGAAAGUGGAUGCACCUGAAUCAUCUACUGGUGCUGAUAGUUCGCAUUCAUCUUCAAAUGGUGUGAUGCCUGAACUGUCAGCUACACCUGGUACGCCUGCUGCGAUUACCGUGGAGCAUCCGUUGCUUUCACUCUCAACAGGAGUGACUGGGGCACAGCAGCCCACUGACUGUUCCCAGAACCUGAUUUCUGCUUCACCAGAACACUUGAACAAGCAUUUUAAAGAUUGUCGCAGUGUAAUGAUAUCACAGCCUGGAGCUCUGCCAUCAAUAUAUCACGCAGU